GACGAACGCUGGCGGCGUGCUUAACACAUGCAAGUGGAGCGACGAACCAGGGCUUGCCCUGGGGCAAAGCCGCGAACGGGUGAGUAACACGUGGGUAACCUGCCCCGAAGACCGGGACAACCCGAGGAAACUCGGGCUAAUACCGGAUGUGGUCACUCUUCAUAAGGAGAGUGAGCAAAGGAAGCUUCGGCCUCCGCUUCGGGAUGGGCCCGCUGUCCAUUAGGUUGUUGGUGAGGUAACGGCUCACCAAGGCUUCGAGGGGUAGCUGGUCUGAGAGGACGGUCAGCCACACUGGGACUGAGACACGGCCCAGACUCCUACGGGAGGCAGCAGUGGGGAAUCUUGCGCAAUGGGCGACAGCCUGACGCAGCAACGCCGCGUGAGGGAAGAAGGCUUGCGGGUCGUAAACCUCUUUCAGGAGGGACGAAGCUUCGGGAGUGAAUAGCUUUCCGGAGUGACGGUACUUCCACAAGAAGCCCCGGCUAACUACGUGCCAGCCGCCGCCGUAA
rnacentral:rRNA from 1 species